rnacentral:rRNA from 1 species
UCACUCCUACGGGAGGCAGCAGUGAGGAAUAUUGGUCAAUGGGCGGAAGCCUGAACCAGCCAAGUCGCGUGAGGGAAGAAGGCCCUGCGGGUCGCAGACCUCUUUUGACGGGGAGCAAGGCCGCCGACGUGUCGGCGGAAGGAGAGUACCCGUAGAACAAGCAUCGGCUAACUCCGUGCCAGCAGCCGCGGUAAUACGGAGGAUGCGAGCGUUAUCCGGAUUUAUUGGGUUUAAAGGGUGCGCAGGCGGCGCGGCAAGCCGGGGGUCAAAUCGUGGGGCUCAACCCCAUCCAGCCGUUGAAACUGGGGAUCUAGAGUGUGCGAGAGGUAUGCGGAAUGCGUGGUGUAGCGGUGAAAUGCAUAGAUAUCACGCAGAACCCCGAUUGCGAAGGCAGCAUACCGGUGCACAACUGACGCUCAGGCACGAAAGCGUGGGUAUCGAACAGGAUUAGAUACCCUCGUAGU